GAAAUAUUUGGGAAUGGUCUUAACAGGGA
rnacentral:piRNA from 1 species